UCCACAGCCAGCGCGGAAUUCCUCCCGGAACCUGGGACCUUUAUAAAGCGGCAAGCGCAGCCUCUUCUCCAGCGUCAGCCCCAGAGCUCCGGCCGCCAGAAUGAGGCUCCAUCACCUGCUCCUCGCGCUCCUCUUCCUGGUCCUGUCUGCUGGGUCAGGAUUUAUGCAGAGAC